rnacentral:rRNA from 1 species
GUCGAGAAUCUUCCGCAAUGCGCGAAAGCGUGACGGAGCGACACCGCGUGAUGGAUGAAGUCCUUCGGGGCGUAAACAUCUUUUAUAAAGGAGGAAAUUUUUGACGUUACUUUAUGAAUAAGGGGCUCCCAAUCUCGUGCCAGCAGGAGCGGUAAUACGAGAGCCUCAAGCGUUAUCCGGAAUCAUUGGGCCUAAAGGGUGCGUAGGUGGUUUGAUUAGUCUCCCGUUAAAACUUCGAGCUUAACUCGAAAAGAGCGGGGGAAACGGUCAAACUAGAGUAUGUGAGAGGUGUGUGGAACUCAUGGUGUAGGGGUGCAAGCCGUUGAUAUCAUGGGGAACACCAAAAGCGAAGGCAGCACACUUGCAAAUCACUGACACUGAGGCACGAAACCUAAGGUAGCGAAUGGGAUUAGAAACCCCUGUAGUCC